rnacentral:rRNA from 1 species
UACGUAGGCAGCAAGCGUUGUUCGGAAUUACUGGGCGUAAAGGGUGCGUAGGUGGUGAGGUAAGUCGGAUGUGAAAUCUCCGGGCUCAACCCGGAAAUGGCAUUGGAAACUACCUUGCUGGAGGGUUUGAGGGGGGAUUGGAAUACUUGGUGUAGCAGUGAAAUGCGUAGAUAUCAAGUGGAACACCAGUGGCGAAGGCGAAUCCCUGGAAAAUACCUGACACUGAGGCACGAAAGCUAGGGGAGCAAACAGGAU